rnacentral:rRNA from 1 species
GGAACAUGGGUAGAUCCGCAAGGAUGGUAUUACAGGUGUUGCAUGGCUGUCGUCAGCUCGUGCCGUGAGGUGUUCCCUUAAGUGGGGAAACGAGCGCAACCCGCGUGUAAUGUUACAUAUUCAUUACAGACGGUCCCGAUUAUCUCGGGAAGGAAGGAGCGGAAGACGUCAAGUCCGCACGGCCCUUAUACCCUGGGUUACACACACCCUACAAUGGCGAAAAACAACGAGUUGCAAGUGCGCGAGUACAAGCUAAUCUCUCAAACUUCGCCUCAGUUCAGAUUGGAGUCUGCAACCCGACUCCAUGAAGUCGGAAUCGGUAGUAAUCGCGGAUCAGCAGGCCGCGGUGAAUACGUUCUCGGGUCUUGUACACACCGCCCGUCAAGGCAGCAAAGUUGGGGGUAGAUGAAUCAUGCCGCAAGGUGUGAGAGUCUAAAUCCAGCGAUGAGGCUUAAGUCGUAACAAGGUAGCCGUAA